rnacentral:rRNA from 1 species
AUUGAACGCUGGCGGCAGGCCUAACACAUGCAAGUCGGGCGGAGCGGCGGACGGGUGAGUAAUGUAUGGGGAUCUGCCUGGUAGUGGGGGAUAACGACCGGAAACGGGCGCUAAUACCGCAUACUAUCAGAUGAGCCUAGGUCGGAUUAGCUAGUUGGUGGGGUAAAGGCCUACCAAGGCGACGAUCCGUAACUGGUCUGAGAGGAUGAUCAGUCACACUGGACCGGAGACACGGUCCAGACUCCUACGGGAGGCAGCAGUGGGGAAUAUUGGACAAUGGGCGAAAGCCUGAUCCAGCCAUGCCGCGUGUGUGAAGAAGGUCUUCGGAUUGUAAAGCACUUUAAGUUGUGAGGCGUUACCAACAGAAUAAGCACCGGCUAACUUCGUGCCAGCAGCCGCGGUAAUUC